AUGUUGCAAAAUGUCUGGACAUGUCAAUUGAUAUUUUAUAUAAAAACAUCUAGCACUUCCUCUUUUGCAACAUGUCGAUUUAUAUUAUGCUAUAUCAUACUAAAUCAUGCUGAUACUUGCAUUAUGGGGCUUAACCUUCUGAGGCUAUUGGCCCAAAAUAGAACUGCGGAGUUCCACACUGAGCUGGAGCCUCUGCCCGCCAAGGUGCUGGAGAAUCAUUGCAUCAAGCAUGCGGUUGAUCUCGAGCAGUCCCUUAUGGAGGGCGCCUACAACUACGUGUUGAGUGCUCGACAAGCUGUGCCGCAUGAAAGUUACGAAUACUUCAUGGACCUUCUAGCCAAAAGAGUAGAACACCCCGAGUGGGAUGUUAGGAACGGUCGGGUCUUCUUCCAGAAGGCGAUGGAGUCUCAGCCCUGUAAGGAGACACCGGCGGUGCCCUCCAUCAACAAGACCCUCGGCUAUGCGAAGGAAUUGGAAAGGACAGUGUGA
rnacentral:rRNA from 1 species